UGAGUGUGAGAGAGAGAGAGAGAGAGAGAGUGUGUGUGUGAGUGUGUGUGUAAGCAACAAAGAACUGCAACUCAACAAAAAGAAUUUAAUCAAGUGCAGGAUUGAGUGCACCCACACACAUCAUGUGCAUGCUCUCUCUCUCUCUCUCUCUCUCUCUCUCUCU
rnacentral:miRNA from 14 species